GCUGCUUUCUAGAACUUCUUCAGAAAGUGCAUUCUCCUCGGCGUGACUAGAGCUUCACUUCCGUCCCUCUGAGUAGCUAGUCUAAGUAUUGUUUUGCUUGUUAGUUGUGUCUUGUGGCCUUAAUUUGCCUUAGUUUCUUUAAAUUAGUCGUCUUUGCUUGUUGCGUCGUCAUAUUAGUGAUUUGUAGCCAGCUGUUUUUACCGGUUAAACUCCUAGUCUUGAUUGAUUGUCAGCUGUGCAAUAUUGGUAGUAUUUAGUAUCGCGUAAGUCUUUGAUCGGUAACUUUGUUUCAUCCCCGUUUUAUCUGCGCAGCUGUUUUGGUUCAAGCACCCGGUUCCAAAGACGUGGCCCCCCUAAGCGACGGAACCCAGCUAACCUCUCCUACCCCCAGCUGUCUCCCUGCAAUAACUGCACAGUUGCUGGAGGACUUUGGAACUGCCAGUCUGCUUCAAAGAAGGCUGAUUUCAUCUCAGCCUAUGCCUCCCUGCUCUCCCUUGAUUUCCUUGCCCUCACUGAGACAUGGAUCACCCCAGAGAACACUGCAACCCCUGCUGCCCUCUCCUCUUUCUUUUCAUUCUCCCACACUCCCCGACCAUCAGGCCGUGGUGGUGGCACUGGUCUUCUAAUCUCUCCCUCCUGGAAAUACUCAGCCCUAUCUCUCUCUGACCUACCCCGAUUCAGUUUUGAAUACCAUUCUGUUUCAAUCACCUGUCCAACUAAUCUAUACAUUGUUGUCAUUUAUCGCCCCCCAGGUCCACUGGGAAACUUCAUCGAUGAGCUGGAUAUCCUACUCAGCUCUUUCCCUGAGGACGGCACCCCACUGAUCCUGCUUGGAGAUUUCAACCUCCACCUGGAAACAUCUCAGUCUUCAGCUGUCCUACAUCUCCUCCACUCCUUUGACCUCUCCCUACAGUCAUCUCCCCCUACCCACAAGGCGGGCAACCUCCUCGACCUGGUUUUUCUGAGGAAUAGCCCUUGCACCGAUAUCACUGUAACCCCUCUGCACACCUCUGACCACCACUUCGUUUCCUUCUCCCUCCCCCUUGCUCCCUCUCACCCACCUUCUCCCCCCACACCCACUGUAUCUGUCCGCCGCAAUCUCUGCUCCCUCUCAACCUCCUCUCUUGCUUCAUCUGUCACUGCUGCCCUCCCUCCUCUCGAAUCCUUCACUACCCUCCCCACUGAUUCUGCAUCCACCUCCCUACUUUCCUCCCUUACAUCUGCUCUUGACUCCCUCUGCCCCACUGUCUCUAGGCCAACACGUCCAUCUCCUCCCUGCCCGUGGAUGUCCAAUGCCAUACGCACCUCCAGGGUUGGACUCCGUGCAGCAGAGAGGAAGUGGAGGACAUCCAGAGAUGCUUCAGACCUCUCUGCCUACCAAUCCCUCCUUGCAGCAUUCUCCUCCACGGUGACUGCUGCCAAGCCAGCCAUCUGCACGCCCUCAGUCCUCGCUCACUGCUGACGACUUUGCAACCUUCUUUGACGAGAAGAUUGCAGUCAUCCGCAACUCCUUCUGCACUCCACCUCACCCUAUGCUCCCCUCCCCUUGUCUCUCCAC